UUUCCUACGGGGGGCAGCAGUGGGUGAUAUUGCACAAUGGGGGAAACCAUGAUGCAGCGACGCCGCGUGUGGGAAGACGGUCUUCUGGAUUGUAAACCACUGUCCCCAGGGACGAAAAUGACGGUACCUGGGGAGGAAGCUCCGGCUAACUACGUGCCAGCAGCCGCGGUAAUCCGUAGGGAGCAAGCGUUGUCCGGAAUUACUGGGUGUAAAGGGAGCGUAGGCGGGGAUGCAAGUUUGGUGUCAACACUACCAGCUCAACCGAUAGUGGCACUCAAAACUACAGCUCUUGAGUGAUGGAGAGG
rnacentral:rRNA from 1 species